CAAGGAAUAGUUUAAUUUUAGAACUCUAGCUUUGGGAGCUAGGGGUGGGAGUUAAAAUCUCCUUUCCUU
rnacentral:tRNA from 1 species